CAUCAGUGAUGUGUUCACAUGUAUUACCUGAAUUUACUGCUGAUGUAUAGUAACACUUGACCUCUAGAAUUAUGCUGAGACCUU
rnacentral:snoRNA from 1 species